rnacentral:rRNA from 1 species
GAAGAACCUUACCAAGGCUUGACAUACACCGGAAACGUCUGGAGACAGGCGCCCCCUUGUGGUCGGUGUACAGGUGGUGCAUGGCUGUCGUCAGCUCGUGUCGUGAGAUGUUGGGUUAAGUCCCGCAACGAGCGCAACCCUUGUCCCGUGUUGCCAGCAGGCCCUUGUGGUGCUGGGGACUCACGGGAGACCGCCGGGGUCAACUCGGAGGAAGGUGGGGACGACGUCAAGUCAUCAUGCCCCUUAUGUC